rnacentral:pre_miRNA from 1 species
AAAAUGUGGUACCGAUACCUGGUCAACAGCAUAAUAUUAUCAAAUAUUGAGAGUGAUAGUAUUAGUUGUGUGACCAGGAGACGGUUAAACAUUGU